rnacentral:rRNA from 1 species
UACAGAGGGGGCAAGCGUUAUUCGGAAUUAUUGGGCGUAAAGGGCGCGUAGGCGGCCUGACAAGUGGAUGGUGAAAUCCCUCGGCUUAACCGAGGAACUGCCAUCCAGACUGUUUGGCUUGAGACCGGGAGAGGUGAGUGGAAUUCCCAGUGGUAGCGGUGAAAUGCGUAGAUAUUGGGAGGAACACCAGUGGCGAAGGCGGCUCACUGGACCGGUACUGACGCUGAUGCGCGAAAGCGUGGGGAGCAAACGGG